CCUGUCCCUUGAGGCGUUACAGCUCAACUGUCAAAGUGUUGCAGCUGUGUCAAAGGGUGGCAGAGAGCGACUGGUGGUGGUCUGCACUGAGACUCUACUACACGGAGGACUCGGAGUCAUACUCACAGUUAAA